AGUAACACGUGGGUAACCUGCCUGUAAGACUGGGAUAACUCCGGGAAACCGGGGCUAAUACCGGAUGCUUGUUUGAACCGCAUGGUUCAAACAUAAAAGGUGGCUUCGGCUACCACUUACAGAUGGACCCGCGGCGCAUUAGCUAGUUGGUGAGGUAAUGGCUCACCAAGGCAACGAUGCGUAGCCGACCUGAGAGGGUGAUCGGCCACACUGGGACUGAGACACGGCCCAGACUCCUACGGGAGGCAGCAGUAGGGAAUCUUCCGCAAUGGACGAAAGUCUGACGGAGCAACGCCGCGUGAGUGAUGAAGGUUUUCGGAUCGUAAAGCUCUGUUGUUAGGGAAGAACAAGUACCGUUCGAAUAGGGCGGUACCUUGACGGUACCUAACCAGAAAGCCACGGCUAACUACGUGCCAGCAGCCGCGGUAAUACGUAGGUGGCAAGCGUUGUCCGGGAAUUAUUGGGCGUAAAGGGCUCGCAGGCGGUUUCUUAAGUCUGAUGUGAAAGCCCCCGGCUCAACCGGGGAGGGUCAUUGGAAACUGGGGAACUUGAGUGCAGAAGAGGAGAGUGGAAUUCCACGUGUAGCGGUGAAAUGCGUAGAGAUGUGGAGGAACACCAGUGGCGAAGGCGACUCUCUGGUCUGUAACUGACGCUGAGGAGCGAAAGCGUGGGGAGCGAACAGGAUUAGAUACCCUGGUAGUCCACGCCGUAAACGAUGAGUGCUAAGUGUUAGGGGGUUUCCGCCCCUUAGUGCUGCAGCUAACGCAUUAAGCACUCCGCCUGGGGAGUACGGUCGCAAGACUGAAACUCAAAGGAAUUGACGGGGGCCCGCACAAGCGGUGGAGCAUGUGGUUUAAUUCGAAGCAACGCGAAGAACCUUACCAGGUCUUGACAUCCUCUGACAAUCCUAGAGAUAGGACGUCCCCUUCGGGGGCAGAGUGACAGGUGGUGCAUGGUUGUCGUCAGCUCGUGUCGUGAGAUGUUGGGUUAAGUCCCGCAACGAGCGCAACCCUUGAUCUUAGUUGCCAGCAUUCAGUUGGGCACUCUAAGGUGACUGCCGGUGACAAACCGGAGGAAGGUGGGGAUGACGUCAAAUCAUCAUGCCCCUUAUGACCUGGGCUACACACGUGCUACAAUGGACAGAACAAAGGGCAGCGAAACCGCGAGGUUAAGCCAAUCCCA
rnacentral:rRNA from 1 species